rnacentral:rRNA from 1 species
UAGGGAAUCUUCCACAAUGGGCGAAAGCCUGAUGGAGCAACGCCGCGUGUGUGAUGAAGGCUUUAGGGUCGUAAAGCACUGUUGUAUGGGAAGAAAUGCUAGAAUAGGGAAUGAUACUAGUUCGACGGUACCAUACCAGAAAGGGACGGCUAAAUACGUGCCAGCAGCCGCGGUAAUACGUAUGUCCCGAGCGUUAUCCGGAUUUAUUGGGCGUAAAGCGAGCGCAGACGGUUGAUUAAGUCUGAUGUGAAAGCCCGGAGCUCAACUCCGGAAUGGCAUUGGAAACUGGUUAACUUGAGUGUUGUAGAGGUAAGUGGAACUCCAUGUGUAGCGGUGGAAUGCGUAGAUAUAUGGAAGAACACCAGUGGCGAAGGCGGCUUACUGGACAACAACUGACGUUGAGGCUCGAAAGUGUGGGUAGCAAACAGGAUUAGAUACCCUGGUAGUCCACACCGUNNNGAUGAAUACUAGGUGUUAGGAGGUUUCCNCCUCUUANUGNCGAANCUAACNCANUAANUAUUCCNNCUGGGGAGUACNACCGCAAGGUU